CAGGGUGCUGGGAAAUGUAGUUUCUAUUCUGGGCAGAUAAGUGUUUAGCUAAAAGGCAGACGCUCCAUUACUAUAAGAAGGAGGAAUGCUGGGAAGCAACCAGCUGGCUUCCACAGGGAGUGACGGUCCUAUUUGCCUUUUGGAAGGAUCUCUCCUGGAAAGGGUGGAAGAAGGAGUGGAUGAGAAAAGGCCACAAUCUCAACCCAGAUUACUUGGGCCAUGAUAUAAAAAGACUGGUUGAUGAUAUUCCAGUGCCAGAAUCUCAGAGAUCACGGGAAUCCCAGAGGAGGAAACUGGGAUCCAGAGAGGAAAGUGACUUUCCCAAGGACUCCUGCCUGGUGCUGUUUUACUGCAGUGCUCUGCCUCUGCCACACAGAGGGGAAUGGUCACCCUGAGGGACCCUGGGAUCAUGCCCUGAGCCAAAGGCAGAUGCCCAACUGACUGAACCACCAGAUGCCUCAGAAGAUUUCUUUUGAUCAAAGACUUGAAAGAGCCAAACCCAAAUUGAACCGAUGUGCAAUCCCAUGAGGCAUUGGGAAGCCUGAAUGAAAUGAUGAGCCAGAAAGUAUUUCGUAAACCCUCCAGUUCUCUACACACGUAAGGCAUUUUUAUUUAGGAAGAAUAGGUUGAUAUUGACUGACGCCAUCCUGGCCAGAGAUCAAAGGCUCUUUGUCCUGCUUCAGCCACAUGUUUUUGAGAGCUGUGCAUGGAUAACAGUGGUACAAGAGACUGGCAGAAGAGGGGCCACCAGCCUCUGGCUUGGAUGCCAGCAGGAUGACUGGGUGGCUUUUGUUGAGCUGGGGCCAAAAUGACCAGGCACUGGUUGGCAGGUGCACAUAAAGGCUAAACUGGGAUGGUUGGGUGUAAAUCUGGCUCCAGCUUCCCUUGCUAUGUAACCCUGGGCAGGUUACAGAACUUCUCUGAUUUUCAGAUUCGUCAUCUGUAAAAUGGGAACAGUUAUAGCCCCUAUAACAUAGAGUUAUCAUGGAGAUUCAGUGACAUCA